UACGUAGGGUGCAAGCGUUGUCCGGAAUUAUUGGGCGUAAAGAGCUCGUAGGCGGUCUGUCGCGUCGGCUGUGAAAACUCGGGGCUCAACUCCGAGCUUGCAGUCGAUACGGGCAGGCUAGAGUUCGGCAGGGGAGACUGGAAUUCCUGGUGUAGCGGUGAAAUGCGCAGAUAUCAGGAGGAACACCGGUGGCGAAGGCGGUUCUCUGGGCCUUACCUGACGCUGAGGAGCGAAAGCGUGGGGGGCGAACAGG
rnacentral:rRNA from 1 species